GAUGAACGCUGGCGGCGUGCCUAAUACAUGCAAGUCGAGCGAACAGACGAGGAGCUUGCUCCUCUGACGUUAGCGGCGGACGGGUGAGUAACACGUGGAUAACCUACCUAUAAGACUGGGAUAACUUCGGGAAACCGGAGCUAAUACCGGAUAACAUGUUGAACCGCAUGGUUCAACAGUGAAAGACGGUCUUGCUGUCACUUAUAGAUGGAUCCGCGCCGCAUUAGCUAGUUGGUAAGGUAACGGCUUACCAAGGCAACGAUGCGUAGCCGACCUGAGAGGGUGAUCGGGCACACUGGAACAGAGACACGGUCCAGACUCCUACGGGAGGCAGCAGUAGGGAAUCUUCCGCAAUGGGCGAAAGCCUGACGGAGCAACGCCGCGUGAGUGAAGAAGGUCUUCGGAUCGUAAAACUCUGUUAGUAGGGAAGAACAAAUGUGUAAGUAACUAUGCACGUCUUGACGGUACCUAAUCAGAAAGCCACGGCUAACUACGUG
rnacentral:rRNA from 1 species